rnacentral:lncRNA from 1 species
AGGUGGGCACUCAUGAGGCUGCAGAGCAGAAGAGACCACCAACACUGCUCACCCCUGCCCACAUCCCUGGCCGAAGAGGAAACUGUAUAAGGCCUCUGGGCUCCCGUGGGGGAGGGCCCAGGAGCGGCAGGACCCCUGGAGACACCACCAGAACCAGAAGGAAACAGACCGGAUAAACAGUUCUCUGCACCCAAAUCCCGUGGGAGGGAGAGCUGAACCUUCAGAGAGGCAGACACGCCUGGGAAACCAGAAGAGACUGCACUCUGCACACAUCUCUGACACCAGAGGAAAAUACCACACGCCAUCUGGAACCCUGGUGCACUGAAGCUCCCAGAAAUGGCUGGGCAGAUCUUCCUGGUUGCUGCCACCGCAGAGAGCUCAAGGGCAGCACCACGUGAGCAAACUUGAGCCUCAGGACCACAGGUAAGACCAACUUUUCUGCUGCAAGUGACCUGCCUGGUGAACUCAAGACACAGACCCACAGGAACAGCUGAAGACCUAUAGAGAGGAAAAACUACACACCCGAAAGCAGAACACUCUGUCCCCAUAACUGGCUGAAAGAAAACAGGAAAA